AGCAAUCAGAAAAUAAAUCUUGGCAAAACCCACACUUCCCGUAUACAUAACAAACAGUAACCCAUUACACACAGACGCACAAACAAACAGUGCCGUUACUUAGCACAAGCCCUAAACCUUGUUCUAAAAUUCUGACUGUCAUACUUGCGGGUCUACGCCUUCUCUCUCGGGUUUCCUUUUGCUUUUAAGCUCCAUGGAGAGCUCUUCUUCUUGCCCAUCCGAUUCAAAUCCGAAGCCCCCUGGUGCUUCCAAGUUCCUCUCCAAUCUUCCCUCCCGCGGCUUCUUGUCCUCCACCGUCUCCUCCUCCAACCCAGGUGGGAUGCGGGUUUAUAUUUGCGAGCAUGACACGUCACCUCCAGAGGGCCAACAAAUAAAGACUAACCAGACAAACAUUCUGAUAAGAUCACUCCAGCUCAAUAAACAUAAGGGUGAUUCAAGUUCGAAGGACGUGAAGGGGUUAACCGCAACUGAGGGUUCUAGAAAGAGGGCUCCAGAAAGAGCUUUGGAUUCCAGGGCGCCAGCAAAGAGAGGCAAUAAUCAGAUUGGUUCUCGACAAGGUUUUGAGCACACAGAGGGAUCUGAUAGCCGCACAUCAGAUAAGGACUAUUACAGUUUGACAGUAGAGAGGCUCCGGGCUCUCCUGAAAGAGCGAGGCCUUUCACCCAAAGGAAAGAAGUGUAUGUUUCAUUGGUAGUUUGGAUGCAAAGGUGCUGAUUUGCAUUGCACCAUUAGUUCGAGUGGUGCUUCUCCUCCCGCUUCAUAAGGUGGAGGCAAUAGGACGAGCUGGUUGCAAGGUUGAGAGGUGUGUAAAAUGUAAAUGGUUGAUUGUUCAGGUGCAGGGUUGAAUAUAAUCUCUACGUGUGUACCAUCGACAUCCAGGAUAAGGAUGGUAGAUGAUUUUCUUUUCUUCUAUGUAACUUGGAAAAUAUAAAAAAAUGUUUAGCUUGGAAGUUAAAUAAAACUUUCGCACAAGAACGAGCUCGCUGCUGCUCUUGAGAAUCGCCUCUUGUAUGGUUCUGUAUUUUAAGCGGGUUUGGUCUUAGGUUCCAAGGUACACCCAAUAUUCAAGAGGUUACGUACGGUCAUAUGAUUAGAAACUUAAAAGACUAUCAGCACAAUUUUUGGUG